AGAGAAUGAACAUUCAUCUUAUCAUCAAAACACUGCAAUACUUAGUUCAAGUACCUUAAAUAGCUGGUCAGUCGUUUUUUUGGGAAAAGUUACAUUGACAUAUUUUGUAUAGCAAAUAUGUAAUUUAUUUACUAAUUCAGACUUUUAUUGAACUCGUCGAGGAGGAAAAUGCACCAAGAAUCUAACGAUUUAGAAGAUAACCUGUUUUCAGAGUUCUCAGUGUCUGAGUUUCUGUCAAGAAAGAUUCUGGUUAUCAAGAUGACAUUCUUGAACUGGACGAGGUUGAGAAUGCCAAAAAAAGUCUAUGAAUCAAAAUGUGAGAUCAAGAUAUCAAUGUUAUAGACAUUGCACAGUUCAAGACGAAAAUCAGUUAUUUUGAAGGACCAUUUAGAAAUGCGAAACAAACAUUUGAAUGAUAUGUAAACCUGUUGUAAAGCUAGUUUUAAACUGUCGACAGUAGUUUUGUAACCUUGCUCAUGUUAUUUUUAAAUUUUUUAUCGUUUAUUUACUCUACUUUCAGGAUUUGAAUUGUUUGUUGUGGAGAUAUGCUCUGUAUCUACAAUUGGAGCCUUUGGCCAUCCCUACAACUUAUGAUUUGAUUUGAUUUUAUUUGAUUUGAUUUUAUUUGAUUUGGGAAGUUGUUUUAUGCAUGGUCGUUAUUAAAAUAUUUAGCAUGAUACACAACAUUUUUUUAGUUUUAUGUUAACCAUUUUUUUUAACAUUUCAGUAUGAACAUAUAAAUAUCCUUUCAGAUGGAAAUGAUCGACUUCAUAUAGUUUAUAUUUUGUGUUAUACUUAGCGCAUCAUUUGUCAACACAUUAAAUGGCAAGUAUAUAAUAAUCGUUUUUAUGCCAAAAUUCUGGAAAUUUAUUUCAUAAAAUGGUUAUUGGUUAAAUGUCCAAAAGGUCAUACACUAGAUACAUAAUCCAGACUGGACAAACACCAGGCUCGAAUAUAUUAAGAAGACGACAUUCUACAAGUCCAUUAAGCCAAGAGGAUACAUAUUCGUACAAUUAAGAUACAUUAGUACCCCUUGCAAUACAAAUUUGUCUCAAUUUAUAACGUAAAAGUUUCCCCAACUCGCAAAGUUUAACUAUAAUACUUACUCUACCUCACAGGAAUAAUAAACAAAUAUUCUAAAUGUCGUCUUCAUAUUUCUGAUAUUCUUUCAGAUUAUUAUAUUAGUUGUAGUGUUGGAUUUUGCCAUAUACUAUAUUUAACUGUUUUACAUAUUUGGAAAUAAAUAAUUAAUUAAUA